ensembl:lncRNA
GGGUGGGGCCAGAGCUUGCUUCCUGUGCUAUUCGGUUUCUCCACACUUGGACAUCAAAGACAGUGAUCUUCAGACUCUAAAUGAGGGCAGACUGACCCAAGAAACAGGGACAGGUGGUUACUUUGCUACUCACUCCGAAACCCCACAUGGGGUAUUUUAAUAGUGUUCUCCAUCUGUCCAACCUCAGGGGUUAAUCCCUUCCUAAUCUGAGCUGUAAUAAUUGGGUAAUCAGACAAGACACUCCAAAAAGCCCAGGCCAUAGUUUUGCUGUUCUUUUUGGCUAGACUUUUCUUUUAUUAGAGAGAAGUAUAGCUGACCUAGAAAUUUCCUGUUUCAGCUUCAGUCUCCCACUAAACAAAAGCACACACUGCUAAGAAGUGUAUGCAUGUUUAGAAAGCACAGCCGUCCUUCUUGGGGGGGAUUUCAGUCACUGCUCACUGAACAUACAGGAAGGAGAGCUGCUAUGCGCAAAUCACAUGAUCCCGCUUUUUGCUACAAACUGGAAAAAAAAAAGGAAAGAAAAGGCCCCCAAAGGCCCGUAGUUAGCCUAGGCUAAUGAGUUCACUGGUGUGAGUCCAGGAAACAUCCCAGAAUGAAUACAUCUGCUGAGAUUUCUGUCUUUUGAAAAAAGUAACCUUGCUGUGGUGGAUAGCAAAUGAAACAUCAAUGAAAGCUGCAUGAAACCGGAUCAGGGACUUAACCUAAAGCCCACGAAGAAAACCCGGUAGGUGGUUAGGAUCCGGGACAGAAGUAAGCCUGACUAUUUGGGGAUUAACCAUCAUGGAGGAAAACACAGAUUUUUUUUUUUUUUUUCGAAUAAGAAGAAGAGAAAACACCCAAGCUGCUGAGGCCUGAUCACACUGACCUACAACCCGGGAUGGAACAAUGGUACUGUCGGCCUAAUGAGCUGGCGAGUUCACACCGCAGCAAGUCUCACACUGGCGAGCCUCCUGGUUACCGUGCAGGGCAGGCAUCAUGGUUUAUUCAUGGUAGCACCCGGCACACGGGAGAGACUCUACAAAUGCUCAUGGAACAGAAUGGACACCAUAGAGGUCCUUCCUGCGCUACUCUGGAGCCAGAUGUGGCCAUGUGACUGGAUGUCACCAACAGAAGUGAGAGGAAGUGAUUUGUUUCAUGCCGCAGUCAAGCUUCUUAGAAAUGGAUGUGCUUCUUCCAGGAUCUCUUUCUCCUUCCACCAGCUAAAUGCAGAGAGCAACAACCCCACAGUGGGGGGACACAGAGAAGUGAAGCCUGGGACCCUGAAUGAUCGCAUGGAAGAGACUAACCCUUCUGGUUUCAAUACUUGACUUAGAGAUGAGUGCUAUGAUCUGAAUGUUUGUGCCCUCCCCAAAUUCAUGUUGAAAUCCUAACCUCCCAGGUGAUGGUAUCAGGAGGUGAGAUUUUUGGGGAGAGGAUUAAGUCACGAGGGUGGUGCCUUCAUGAAUGGGAUUAGUGCUUUUAUAAAAUAGGGCCAAGGCAGCUCAUUCCCCCUUCUACUAUGUGAAGACACAGGUAGAACGCACCAUCUGUGAACCAUAAAGCAAGCCUUCACCAGAUAGCUAAUCUGCUGGUGCCCUUGACCUUUGACUUUUCAGCCUCCUGAACAGUGAGAAAUACAUUUCUAUUCUUUAUAAGCCACUCAAUCCAUGGUAUUUUGUUAUGGAAGUCCAAAUGGACUAAAACAGUGAGUAAGAAUAGACCUCUAUUGAGUUGACCUGUUUUAUUUUGGAAUCUAUUUUGCUACACAAACUAGCACAAUCUUAAAUAACAUAUUUGACUAUCAAGGGAAGUAACCCACCCUGCUAUGUGACUCAAAGGGGGAAAGGAGGUCAUGGCCCAGGAAGAGGAGUCAUCCACCUCUGACUGAGAUGGUUGAGCCACUCAAGUGCAGCUCUGCUGGUUGGCUGAUGUGCCUGUCACAGAGGAGAAGAACUAUACUUCUCACUCUCAUCACAAAUCUCUUUCGGUAAAAGUCAGUCAACUUAUGGGAAGUCAGCCCUGGGGCACCAUGAUGAUUGACACUGUAUAGAAAUUGGCCUGAGCAUUUUUGUGAUGUAUCAUGGGAAUAUGCUGGGCCUCUGACAGAAACAGAGGAUCUGGGGUCCCAGCCAUUACAUGGGAAAUAGAUAGGAAUUCAUUAGUUGCACACAGUGGGUAACAGCAUCUCAGAUGAUAGCUGCAGUGUUUAGAGAAGCAAGAGGACAAUGACGUAUUCAGGAAACGUGCUCAAAAUUGUUGGAGCAUAGACUGUGAGAGCAAGUAUGUUUGUGUAUUGUUUGCAGGAGGUUAGGGAUGGGGUAGGGCUGGGCAAUUAAGCUGGAACAGGUAGGCAAAGCAAAUGGUAAGACUCAGCUUUCAGAGUUCAAAAUAUGUGUUUGAAGUCCAUGAUAUCUUUGGGGGAAAAAAGGUUUUUUUGUUUGACAAAGCUACGGUCAUUUGAACUUCAGGAGCUGAGAUCUUGACCUAAGCGGUAAGUUUAAACAAAUAUGUAAUUGCUCCGAAUGUGGUUUUGUCUGUUGUCUAGAUGAGUUAAGAUCCCAAGAGGCCGGGCGCGGUGGCUCAAGCCUGUAAUCCCAGCACUUUGGGAGGCCGAGACGGGCGGAUCACGAGGUCAGGAGAUCGAGACCAUCCUGGCUAACACGGUGAAACCCCGUCUCUACUAAAAAUACAAAAAAAAUUAGCCGGGCGAGGUGGCGGGCGCCUGUACUCCCAGCUACUUGGGAGGCUGAGGCAGGAGAAUGGCGGAACCCGGGAGGCGGGGCUUGCAGUGAGCUGAGAUCCGGCCACUGCACUCCAGCCUGGGCAACAGAGCCAGACUCCAUCUCAAAAAAAAAAAAAAAAAAAAAAAAGAUCCCAAGACUUUAGGAAAUGGAAGAAAAGAGUUGCAGAGGAGGAAAGUGCAGGACAAGUCCCCAGAGCGCCUCGGAUAACCAGCUCCUCCCCCAUUACUUGCCUGUAGUUCUCAGAAUAACUGUAGGAUGUGCUGGGAAUGCAACAUCCUGAGAUAAGGAGGGACUGGCUGGGAUAGCCUGGGCUCUGUUCCCAUCACCCCUAGAACAGGAUGUCCUGCAAUACUUUAUCCCAGCGAUCCAUGGGUCCCCUGGCAUAAAACCUAACUCAGAGUGUGCUAUCAGGGUCCCUCAGCUGUGGCGCAACACAGGGCACAUGCAGAUGGGACUCCAUGGGGCCUGGGCAGAGCUACUGAGCCUUGGAGGACUGCUUCACUUCACUUGCUGAGUGAGUGCUCUGUCUCACUGCACUUGUGCAAGAGGAUUGCUACUGGUGCAUGGUUAUUGGUGAAGUGUUUAGAGUCCUCCCCUGGGAUUGAUACCUGUGCACCGUGAAACUGCUCCACAGAAAGAAUGCAAGAGCCUGCUGAGGGUCUUUAGGAAGGGGCUCUGCUCCCUGCACCCUCCACCCAGGUUAGCUCCUAAGGAGUGGGGAUAAGACACCCCUCCCCUCAUGAGCUUAGGGACCUGAGAGUAGAGAGGACCCUGCUACUGUCUGAAACGCUCAUGUAUGUCCUCACUGCUGCCAUGGCAGGGCCAGUGGAGGGGAUCUUAAGACAAGGGGCAGGGGCAGACCUGGAGUGGCAGGAGAAAGCAAGAGAACUUUCCCAUGUCUUUUUGAUAGAAGUGGAAGUAGCUGGGAAAGGGGGCCAUGAUUCAGAGGAGUUGCGGGGUUGUGAUGUGGGGAUGCCGUGACAGAAAGCAGCUUGCUCAUAUGGCUGGAGACUGGGGGCAAUGAGAAACCCGGGCAGAAGGCCUACCUUAGCUACACAGGGUGGUUCAUACUGUGUGUACAUGCUGGGUGGGCUGGACCAAGGCCUGAGUGUGAGGCCAGCUUUGUUUCAAGAAGCAGAUGCAGAGUAGAGUUUUUGUAAGAUGAGCACAAGUACACCCAAGGAGCAGGGGCGUGGGCUUCCUAUCGGUGUCCCGCUGUGGGCCAGAUCAUUUCUGCAGCCUCGCUGCAGCUUCCCAGUCUU